GCAGUUGGGUGCAGUGGGAGGCUUAGGAGGGAGGUGCGCGCGCGGGAACUCGGGAGAGCUAUCCGUUGGGGAAGAAGAUAAGGAGGCGUUUGAGGCGGAGCGGAGCGCCGCGCGGGGUCUCCUCCGCCUCUCGCUGUCUCGCCCCCCUCUCGCCGGUGGACUUCCGACUUCCGACUCCGGCCUCGCCAGCCACAAACAUCUUACCACAAG
rnacentral:lncRNA from 1 species